GCACAGGCAUAUGAUUUCCUGUAGUCCUUGAAAUGUGAGAAGGGACGUGGGUCACCUCCAGGCCAGGACUUGAGAGUCAGCCUGUGCUUCCAAUGCUCUCCGCGCCUCUGCUCAGAGCGGUGCGCUCCAUCACCCCAAGCCUAGGCUGAAGAGGCAUGAGGAGCAGAGCUUCAGCCCCCCCAUGAUGGACAGCUACUCGUGCAAGAUGAACUUUGGCUGAUGUCAGAUGCUAGGAACCCAGUGGCUUAUUGCUGCGAGUAGCUGGCCUUCCCCUGUUUCUGUCUCUGAGAUGGGAAUGCACAUGGAGAAGUGUUCUUAUUGAGAUCCUUUGAGCUGGGAUGUGUCCAGCCUCACCAGGCCAUUGGGGCUGCACGGCCAGCAACAUCUCUGACGGGCCACCUCGACAAUUUCUCCCAGAGUAGCUGCUCCAAGCCCAAUCCACUCUCCCUGGGAUACCUCUUCUAACUUUUCCCCCUUGUUCUGAGGUCACAGCCUGCUCUUUCUCAGAGAACUCUGGAGCCACUGAGCAUGAUGGGUCGAUAUGCUACUCGGGCCCAUUGAUUUCUAGAUUUAAUUUCCCCUAUCCUUCCUCCUUCCUCCACUGGAAUCUUCUUUUGUUCAAUGCCAACCCCAUGUCUUGGGACAUCGACUUGCUGAGUUCCUAUGAUUUUUCAGUCACCCUUGAUCUGCAAAGAAGGGCUGGAGAAGAGAUGGCCAACAGUGUUGAAAACAGGGCUGCCCCUGACGGUGGACGAGGUCCUCCCUUGAGUCAGGACCUGUCCAUGUGUGAUCCUAAAAAAGGCAGAAGGAAGCAAAUGGAGCAGAGCUCAGAGGGAGAGAGGAAGAGGAAUGCUUAAUUCUGAAGGGCGACGAAGACCGGGGAGAAGAGCACUGAAGAGUUGUUUAUUCAAGAAAAAUUAUUGCAGAUCCUCUGUGUUCCAGGCAUGGCUGCAGUCCUCUACCUUCACAAGCCUUGC